UUUAACAGCAAGUACUGCAGCUAGUACUAUCUAUAGUACUACAGGUGUUACUACAGGUGUUAUUACAUGUGUUUUUAUACAGACGUUACUACAGGUGUUACUAUAGGUGUUAUUACAGAUUGUAUUAUAAUACUACAGAUGUUACUACAGGUGUUAUUACAUGUUUUUAUACAGACGUUACUACAGGUGUUACUAUAGGUGUUAUUACAGAUUGUAUUAUAGUACUACAGGUGUUACUACAGGUGUUAUUACAGAUUGUAUUAUAGUACUACAGGUGUUACUACAGGUGUUAUUACAGAUUGUAUUAUAGUACUACAGGUGUUAUUACAGAUUGUAUUAUAGUACUACAGAUGUUACUACAGGUGUUAUUACAGAUGUUACUACAGGUGUUAUUACAUGUGUUUUUAUACAGAUGUUACUACAGGUGUUAUUACAGAUGUUACUACAGGUGCUAUUAGAUAUGUUUUUAUACAGAUG